GACGAACGCUGGCGGCGUGCCUAAUACAUGCAAGUUGAGCGCUGAAGGUUGGUACUUGUACCAACUGGAUGAGCAGCGAACGGGUGAGUAACGCGUGGGGAAUCUGCCUUUGAGCGGGGGACAACAUUUGGAAACGAAUGCUAAUACCGCAUAAAAACUUUAAACACAAGUUUUAAGUUUGAAAGAUGCAAUUGCAUCACUCAAAGAUGAUCCCGCGUUGUAUUAGCUAGUUGGUGAGGUAAAGGCUCACCAAGGCGAUGAUACAUAGCCGACCUGAGAGGGUGAUCGGCCACAUUGGGACUGAGACACGGCCCAAACUCCUACGGGAGGCAGCAGUAGGGAAUCUUCGGCAAUGGACGAAAGUCUGACCGAGCAACGCCGCGUGUGUGAAGAAGGUUUUCGGAUCGUAAAACUCUGUUGGUAGAGAAGAACGUUGGUGAGAGUGGAAAGCUCAUCAAGUGACGGUAACUACCCAGAAAGGGACGGCUAACUACGUG
rnacentral:rRNA from 1 species